UACGGGGGGGGCAAGCGUUGUUCGGAAUUACUGGGUUUAAAGGGUGCGUAGGUGGCGCGUUAAGUCCGUUGUGAAAGCCCUGGGCUCAACCCAGGAACUGCUUCGGAUACUGGCGCGCUUGAGGCUAGUAGGGGUCACUGGAACUGACGGUGGAGCGGUGAAAUGCGUAGAUAUCGUCAGGAACGCCAAUGGUGAAGACAGGUGACUGGGCUAGUUCUGACACUGAGGCACGAAAGCGUGGGGAGCGAACGGG
rnacentral:rRNA from 1 species